GACGAACCGUCCAAACGUUAUUCGGAAUUACUGGGCUUAAAGGGUGCGUAGGCGGUGCCGUAAGUCGGGUGUGAAAUCCCUCGGCUCAACCGAGGAACUGCGCCUGAUACUGCGGUGCUGGAGGGAGACGGGGGUGAGCGGAACUGAUGGUGGAGCGGUGAAAUGCGUUGAUAUCAUCAGGAACACCGGUGGCGAAAGCGGCUCACUGGGUCUCUUCUGACGCUGAGGCACGAAAGCUAGGGGAGCGAACGGG
rnacentral:misc_RNA from 1 species